rnacentral:lncRNA from 13 species
GCACUUCUCUCUCCUGCUGCCAUGUGAAGAAGAUCCUUGCUUUCCACCAUGAUUAUUCAUGACUUCAAUUGAGAGAUGAAUUUCAAGCCAACUUUCAAUGAAUCCUGGGCAGAAUGAAAUCUGUUCAAUGGAAUAUAGAGGAAGAAAAGAAGGAGGAGGAGGAGGAGGAGGAGGGGAAAAGAAGGAAAGGGAAAAAAUCGAGAUCCCUGUGGGACACCAGCCAGUUGGGAUCAAGAGCCCACCCUAUUAAUUCCUCUUAACUGAAAUAAUUAUAUCUGCAGUGAUCUGUAUCCAAAUAAAGCCACCUUCCAAGG